GACAGAGGUGCCGAGCGUUAGGCGGAAUCACUGGGCUUAAAGCGUGUGUAGGCGGAUGCCUAAGUACCUUGUGAAAUCCCACAGCUCAACUGUGGAACUGCUUGGUAUACUGGGUGUCUUGAGCCACUUAGGGGCUACCGGAACAAAUGGUGGAGCGGUGAAAUGCGUAGAUAUCAUUUGGAACGCCAAUGGUGAAAACAGGUAGCUGGGAGUGUGCUGACGCUGAGACACGAAAGCCAGGGGAGCAAACGGG
rnacentral:rRNA from 1 species